UGGGGAAUAUUGGGCAAUGGGCGCAAGCCUGACCCAGCAACGCCGCGUGAAGGAAGAAGGCUUUCGGGUUGUAAACUUCUUUUGGCAGGGACGAAAAAAAUGACGGUACCUGCAGAAUAAGCUCCGGCUAACUACGUGCCAGCAGCCGCGGUAAUACGUAGGGAGCAAGCGUUAUCCGGAUUUACUGGGUGUAAAGGGCGCGUAGGCGGGAAUGCAAGUCAGAUGUGAAAUCUGGGGGCUCAACCCCCAAACUGCAUUUGAAACUGUAUUUCUUGAGUGAUGGAGAGGCAAGUGGAAUUCCUAGUGUAGCGGUGAAAUCCGUAGAUAUCCGGAGGAACACCGGUGGCGAAGGCGGCCACCUGGACAGGUACUGACGCUGAGGCGCGAAAGCGUGGGGAGCAAACA
rnacentral:rRNA from 1 species